GAGACUGAGACCUGAAAAGCUUUAAGUGAACUUUUUUAGGAGCUAAAGAUGUAGUAAAAUAUGAACUGUUCUCAUCAAGAGAAAGAGGCAAAUCUCAAGACAACAAGCUGACAAUUAGAACAGUUAAAGAUAAAAUAAGAUGUUCCCAGAAUCCAGGUUGUGUCCUGAGACAAGAGAGAAAGAAUGCUAGAACUCAGAGUCAAAAGACCGAUGCCAAGUCCUGGUGUUAUGUGACCUUGACCAAAUCAACUAUUUUCUGCUAACCUCAUAGAUGGUUCUAAGGAUCAAACGAUAUGAGAAGGGUAAAAGGGCUGAGAACUACACAAUGAAUAACAAAAAGGAGUAUGGUGGAGAAUUAUAGCAUUUUCUGCUGCAGGAGACUGAAUCCCAGUGAAAAUUUCUGAGGAGACAUGGCAAAUAGAGGAAGGAGGAAAUGAUAAAACAGCUUGCUGGAUGAGGAACACAAAAAAGAAUCUUGAGAUGGGGCACAAAAUAAACUGGGUAAACAUGAGGAAUUAAAGUUCAUGUGAGAUCUAAGAGGAUUACAUCUGCUGCCAACUUUGAGACCACCAAAAUCCAGAGCAAUUUUCUUUGUGGGUUUGGAGUUCAUUUUCUGCUGCUAAAACAGAAUACCAUAGACUGGGUAGUUUGUAAAGAAAGGAGAUUUAUUUUGCUCAUGGUUCUGGAGGCCAGGAAGUUCAAGAGUGUGGUGUUGGCAUCUGGUGAGGCUCUCAUCCCAUGGCAGAAGGCUUCACAUGGUCUUCAGAGUUUCCUCACUACAAGACUUAAUUAUUGCAGAUGGCCGCAAAUGGUGAAUGAGCAAUAUACCUGAUAAAUAGCCACUCCAGAAUCCAGCAGGACAUCACCACUGGUUGCAGUUGGCAUUGAACAUGGAACCAGAUGUCUUUACAGGAACCUCUACAACCUCCAGAAGAAGAUAACAUCACUGUCUAAUUACCAGCCAUUGGAUCCAAUCUGCAUAUCCUGCCACUGUAAUCCAGCAUGUCUCGAUUCUUACUGUACAUUAAAAUCACCUGGUAUACAUUAAAUAAAAAAAACUGGUCCUGCCCCUCAAAGAUUCUAACUUAAUUGGCUUAGGGUGGGGCCUGAGCACCAUGUUUCCUAAAAGCUCUUAAAGGGACACUUUUAUGUGCAGCUGGAGAGAAUAACUAGGGUAGCCACUUGGGAUCACCAUUAGCCAA